UCUGAGUGUGGAGAGAAGAGAAAUCUGAGGACGGUGCGAAGCAUGUUUUAAAUUUAUAAUGUUCGCGGUGAUUAAGAUUUGCUUUCACAGGGUAGUAUUAUGUGAAAAAUUUAGAUUGUUUUUCGCUGGGGGGGCAAGGUUUUACAAUCACGAUGCCUGCUCAACCAUCGACCAUCUGUCAGCCAUCGCCGAUAGACGAUGGCAUCAUCUAUCGGCCCAACCCAAAUAGCCAGUUUGAAAUGUAUGUUGAAGUGUAAAUAACUGAAAAUGUAGUUAAGUAAAUGUAUACAAUUGAAUCAAUGGUAGAGUUAACUCAACAAGUCAUUAGUUAUGUUGAAAUGGAUUUGUUUAUUAAUUGAAUAAACCUUUUUAAUUGAGCUAACAUAAAUUUUAAAGUUGAAAGAACUACCAUGAGCAGUUAAAGCAACUGACAAAGCCAAGUCAACUGAACCUCCAACCGAUGUUGACAGAACAUAUUAUUUAAAUUAAGAUGAAUUAAUCUGCUUAGUUCAUUAGACUAACUAAUGCACAUCAACCAAGCUAAAGGUUUACACACCACAGGAUAUUUAUUUAACAUAACAUUUUGUGAUGUUAGAAGAACAAACUGGGUUAUUUCACCUAAGGUAAAAUUUUAAGGCAGCCCUUUCACUCAUAUUUUUAGGUUGAAAAAUCGUGUUAGAUUUUACAGUGUUUGGGGUAGCCCACUUUUGGUCCAGCACAGAGACUUUUGAGUGAAAAGUGAGAAAGGAGAAAGAUGCAGUGGUUGUCUGAAAGUUUACAGAUUUUCUCAUCAGCAGGACAAACAUGGACUGUAAGACCGACCCGCUGGAAUGCUGUCUGUUUUCUAGUGGUGAAACACGUCAUUGCCACAAACACACUGUGAGACAAGACAAAGUGUGAACAUCAGUCUUAAUAUAGUUUGACCCGGCCUUGACAUCACGAACCUACAUUCAACAAUAGAAACAUCACUAAUAUCAAAAUGAAACGUCAUUAAAGAAUGUGG